GUGCACCAGGCGAGAAACUUCCACAAUGGGGAAACCCUGAUGGAGCGACGCCGCGUGCGGGAUGAAGGCCCUAUGGGUUGUAAACCGCUGUUCAGUGGAAAGAACAUCCUCCGGCUGAAUAGGUCGGAGGCCUGACGUUACCACUGCAGAAAGGUCCCGGCCAACUCCGUGCCAGCAGCCGCGGUAAUACGGGGGGACGGGAG
rnacentral:rRNA from 1 species